rnacentral:tRNA from 1 species
GGGGAGUUAGCUCAGGUGGUAGAGCGUCGGCUUUGCAAGCCGAAGGUCAGCGGUUCGAAUCCGCUACUCUCCACCA